AUGUGGCAGCAAAUGUGGAAAACUCAGCAGUGGCCACAGGACUGGGAAAGGUCAGUUUUCAUUCCAAUUCCAAAGAAAGGCAAUGCUAAAGAAUGCUCAAACUACCGCGUAAUUGUACUCAUCUCACACGCUAUUAAAAUAAUGCUCAAAAUUCUCCAAGCCAGGCUUCAGCAAUAUGUGAACUGUGAACUCCUUGAUGUUCAAGCUGGUUUUAGAAAAGGCAGAGGAACCAGAGAUCAAAUUGCCAACAUCCACUGUAUCAUGGAAAAAAUAAGAGAGUUCCAGAAAAACAUCUAUUUCUGCUUUAUUGACUAUGCCAAAGCCUUUGACUGUGUGGAUCACAAGAAACUGUGGAAAAUUCUGAAAGAGAUGGGAAUAACAGACCACCUAACCUGCCUCUUGAGAAAUCUGUGUGCAGGUCAGGAAGCAACAGUUAGAACUGGACAUGGAACAACAAACUGGUUCCAAAUAGGAAAAGGAGUAUGUCAAGGCUGUAUAUUGUCACCCUGCUUAUUUAACUUAUAUGCAGAGCACAUCAUGAGAAACUCUGGGCUGGAAGAAACACAAGCUGGAAUCAAGAUUGCCGGGAGAACUAUCAAUAACCUCAGAUAUGCAGAUGAUACCACCCUUAUGGGAGAAAGUGAAGAGGAACUAAAAAGCCUCUUGAUGAAAGUGAAAGAGGAGAGUGAAAAAGUUAGCUUAAAGCUCAACAUUCAGAAAACUAAGAUCAUGGUAUCCAGUCCCAUCACUUCAUGCGAAAUAGAUGGGGAAGCAGUGGAAACGGUGUCAGACUUUAUUUUUUUGGGCUCCAAAAUCACUGCAGAUGGUGACUGCAGCCAUGAAAUUAAAAGAUGCUUACUCUUUGGAAGGAAAGUUAUGACCAACCUAGAUAGUAUAUUCAAAAGCAGAGACAUCACUUUGCUGACUAAGCUCUGUCUAGUCAAGGCUAUGGUUUUUCCUGUGGUCAUGUAUGGAUGUGAGAGUUGGACUGUGAAGAAGGCUGAGCGCCAAGAAUUGAUGCUUUUGAACUGUGGUGUUGGAGAAGACUCUUGA
rnacentral:lncRNA from 1 species